rfam:Bacillus koreensis strain DSM 16467 scaffold5, whole genome shotgun sequence.
AAGGUCCUGAUGUGUUCGUCUUAUUACCUGUUGUUUUGACCGAACAUUUCCAUAAACGGGAGCUCGGAGUUGCAACCUUGCGCACAUGCCUUUUUUAAGGACUUGCAAUAGGUCGUACAGAGCACCCACCUGCUGAGAGCGGGUUCAAAACAUGGGGCGGUUCGGACGGCAUAAUUGGGACCAUC